GAGGCUGAAGAAGAGCGGAGCAGCUGGUUGCUGCCGCUUGCUUGCGUGAUGAACGUGGCGCUUACGUCGUCGCAAAUGGCGGCGUGUAUAUUUCCUUAAUUCGAAGUCAGUGUCACUUGAAAUGAGCAGUUGUGAUGUUGGUGGUGGAAAGCUGCUAGAGGGAUUAAUGCCAGAAUUAGAAAGAUCUGUACGGAAAGAAAGCUUUCACAUACAAAGAGCAAUUGCAAUGGGACACUGAUGAUGCUUCCCAAAUAAGUGAAGCGAAACGCGUAUGGCAACAAACUGUCUUCAUUUAUUUGCAUAGACGGUACAUACCUUCACGAAUCUGUACAGAUGUUGCUGGAGUUCAGGCAUCUGUGUGGAAAUCAAACACCUACAUCUGUAGCCGUAUGGCGUGGUUUGUCAUUACGAUGUGAGUGUUCAACAACAAUUUUUCAGAAGAGGUGUUUGUGUUCGUGUGUGUUUGCAGGUGGGGACUUCAACGCUGUGGUUGAUAACAAUGAUGAUGGUGAC